AACAACAAUAUUUGGAACGCUAACAUGUAUUUUCUUAUUUCAGAUUCUUCCAAUUCCAACAUCAUUCCACCGAAUUGACACCACAUCGACCCCUUUGUCAGGGACUUCUCUCUCUAAUAAUUCAGUAUGUAUCUGUCUAUAACAACAAAAAUGUCUGCAUCGCUAACAUGUAUUCUUUUUUCAGAUUCUUCCAAUUCCACUAUCAAUGAACCAAAUAGACACAUCAACCUCUUCAUCAGGGACUUCUCUCUCUAAUAAUACAAUUCUUCCAAUUCCACUAUCAACGCACCAAAUAGACACCACAUCAACCUCUUCAUCAGGGACUUCUCUCUCUAAUAAUACAAUCCUUCCAAUUCCACCAUCAACGCAUCA